UACAGAGGUCUCAAGCGUUGUUCGGAUUCAUUGGGCGUAAAGGGUGCGUAGGUGGCGCCAUAAGUCAGGUGUGAAAUCUCGGGGCUCAACCCCGAAACUGCACUUGAUACUGUGGUGCUGGAGUACUGGAGAGGAGAUUGGAAUUUACGGUGUAGCAGUGAAAUGCGUAGAUAUCGUAAGGAAGACCAGUGGCGAAGGCGAAUCUCUGGACAGUUACUGACACUGAGGCGCGAAAGCGUGGGGAGCAAACAGG
rnacentral:rRNA from 1 species